GACGACGUAGCUCAGUUGGCAGAGCAUUGGACUAGUAUCCCAAAGGUCGCGGGUUCGAUUCCCAUCGUGGUCA